rnacentral:lncRNA from 1 species
ACGCGAAUCACGUGUCCUCCAGACGGGGGCCCUUCCCUGUUUGGUAGUUGAGGUGGAGAGAGAGAGGACAGCUUAUGUCAUUAUUCUAUGCAUUUCUUGGAGAGAUCAAAGACUAAUAUUCUCACUAAUUCUGCUACUGCUAUCUAGAAGGCAGAGCAAGGUGUACAGGGCGGAACGUGAAAGUGGACCAGGAAUAUGACUGCUGAAGCACAGCAUCACAGGGAGACUUUUAGGCCUCCAGAUGGCUGCCAGCGGGCUUGACUGUCAGGCAUUCCACAAGAAGUGGUGGAGCAGUCUUUUCUAACUCCCCAGAGGAAGGGGAGACUCCCUUUCCCGGCCUGCUAAGUAAUGGGUAAUGGGUGCCUUCCCAGGCACUGGCGCUACUGCUAGACCAAGGUCUGCUAAGUAAUGGGUGCAUUCCCGGGCACUGGCAUUACCGCUAGACCAAGGAGCCCUCUAGUGGUCCUGUCCGGGUGUGACAGAGAGCUCACACUCUUGUCUUCUGGUCACUUCUCACCAUGUCCCUUCAGCUCCUAUCUCUGUAUGGCCUGGUUUUUCCUAGGUUAUAAUUGUAGAACAGAGAUUAUUAUAAUAUUGGAAUAAAGAGUAAUGCUACAAGGUAAUGAUUGAUAAUAUUCAUAUAUAAUCAUGUCUAUAUUCUGUGUCUAAUAUAACCUCUUAUUUUAAGCAUUUUCUUUAUGAUACUGGAACAGCUUGUGCCUUCAGUCUCUUGCCUCGGCACCUGGGUGGCUUGCCGCCCACACACCUGUAAUCCCAGCAGUUAGGGAGGCUGAGGUGGGCAGCUUACCUGAGGUCAGGAGUGUGAGACCAGCCUGGCCAACACGGUGAAACCCUGUAUAUUUUUAAUAAAAAUAUAACAAAUUAGUUGGGUAUGGUGGCACGCAAUUGUAGUCCCAGCUACUCAGGAGCCUGAGGCUCGAGAAUCGCUUGAACCCAGGAAGAGGAGGUUGCGGUGAGCCGAAAUUGUGCCACUGCACUCCAGCCUGGGUGACAGAGCGAGACUCUCAAACAAAACACAAACAAACAAAAAAACAGUACCUCCUCUUUUUUUUCUUUUUUUUCUUUUUUUGGAAACAGAGCCUUGCUCUGUUGCCUGGGCUGGAGUGCUGUGCUGCAAUCUUGGCUCACUGUAACCUUCACCUCCCGGGUUCAAGUGAUUCUGCUGCCUCAACCUCCCGAGUAGCUAAGAGUCCAGGCGUGCACCACCAUGCCCGGCUAAUUUUUUUGUAUUUUUAGUAGAGACAGGGUUUUGCCAUGUUGGUAAAGCUGGUCUCGAACUCCCAACCUCAGGUGAUCCAACCGCCUCAGCUUCCCAAAGUAUUGGGAUUACAGGCGUGAGCCACCAUGCCCGGCCAGUAUCUCAUUCUUAAUAACUCGUAUACAUUGUGACUUCAAUAGGGUAGGCAUUGUAUUGAGCACUUUACAUGCAAUAGCUUGUUUAAUCCUCACAUCAGCUCUACUAUCGUUCAGGAAACUCCCUGCCAGUUGAAGUGACUUGCUUGAGGUCAGGAGGCUACCAAGUGCAUAGUCUAAUCAGCCGCCACCUGAGCCCAGAACCACAUAGUAAAUGCGCUACAAUUCUUUGCUAUUAUGAUUAUUUUACAUUUUAUAUUCCCUGUAGUUAAUAAUUGCCUUGUUUUUAAUGUACUUUGUUUUGUUUGUGUAAGUAUCAUUAAUUCAGUUCCAAUAUAUCAGAAGUAUAAAUCUUUUGGGUAUUCAAACACAUCACCUACUUUCAAUUUUAUCCUUUCCUCCAUCCUCUCUUAACCUGGAUUAGUUACCCCGAAAUAAAUGUAAUGUAAUAC